AAUACUAAACUAGAUGAAUUUUAAUAUACUAAACUAGAAGACCUUUGAUGUCUGAAAUAUAACAUUCAAACAAAUUAUGGAUAAUUACGCCAGUUGACAAAUACGCAAGAAAGUAUGUAUUUGGGUUGAGGCGGGAUUUUAAAAGGUGGAUAGUAGGUGACUUGGUGCCAAGAGCUUGAAGUGACAGAAGCUUUACAUCAAGCCUUUUGUGGGUACAAAAGGCCGAAAUGUAAGGCAGUGCUCUGAUUUCCAGUAGGAUAAAGAAGCAAGUUUAAAGAAGAAGGUUUAUAGUCCACAUAGGAAAGGAUAAGUACUCAUGGAGCAGUGUCUCUUUCUUGCCUUGCUAUCACCGCACGUUUCACCAUCUAGCUGCCGAACUAACCAACAGAGGCGAGAAAAGAAUAUAAAUCGUAAGUAUUAAGGGUGAUAUCUGGAAGAAGAGGAAGGAGGGCUUUACCUCGACCUCGAAGUCCACUCAUAGUAUCAACUCCUAGUGACGAAGUUCCAAAUUUGGUGCCUCCGACAAGGAGCCUAAGAGAUGAGGAGGAUCCCAUAGUUGAUGUCGCACCUGAAGCAAUACCAGCAGUGGGUGUCGAAGAGGCCAUCCAUGAUGUACAACAUGACAGAAAUGAGGGGGAGAAUUGAAUAGGCUGACUUCAUGUUGGAUUGGGAUAGAGAGAACCAUCGCGAAGCUAUAGUAAACACACUAGCUGAUAGGUACAAUGCUUACCAUUAUGAACUACACAAACACUACAAGAAUUCCCUUCGCAUGAGGAGGUACUAGCUGGUCAGAAGUCAUCAGUGGAGCCACAUGUUUGGGAGUGGCUAUGUAAAAUGUGGUACAGCCAAAAAUUUAAGAGAUACAUCAGCAUGCAUCACUAGAUCUGCAGAACACAAUGAUUCCAGUAGGGCACAAUUUUCUGUGAUGGAAGGCCACAUUUUCAGCCUGAAUCAUUUUGAAAUUUUUCACUACCAAGUGAAGUGAAAAAUUGUGAACAUAAUUGCGCAAGUUCCAGAUCCAGUGAUGGUAUAUAAGGUAUUUUGGAUUCAGCCCAACUGAAAGUUUUCUGAUAUAGAUAGUCCUGGGUAUAGCUGGUGUUUCAUUUCUAGGCAUCAACAAUCCAUAAUCUCAUACGUGAAUGCAAUAGAGCUAUCAGGAGAUUUAAUUUGGAGCAAAGUUAAACAGCAAUGAUAUGUAGAACUAUAGUUGUUAUAUGGGUUUACACCAACGUAUAAUUUGUAAUCAUGCUGAUGACCCUCUUCUCCUUCCCACAUAGUAAUCCUUAAUUCCUUUCCAUUUCCUUGGAUGAACAGUAGAAUAGGCCUGAAUGUUGUAAAUAUUGAAGUGAUAUA